rnacentral:lncRNA from 1 species
UUUUCCAUACUUGACCCUUAUUAUAUUUGGAAACAGCCCCUUAAACUCUCCUUGGAUUAUCCCUAUUUUGAAUCUGUCAUUUGUUUCCUGCUUGCAAAUGGCAGAAAUAAAUUUCUAGACUAUCUCCUCCUUUCUAGCCCCACCAUAAGUUUCAAACCCAAGUCACUACUAUUUUACCUAUCGUACUACAAAUCUGCAAAUCAGUGUUUCCACUUUCACUUCUAAUUCUUUUUCCAAUCUAUCUACCCAGAAGACAGACUCACCAUUGUUAAAGUAUAAUUAUACUAUAUGACUGGUUUUUUUUUUUAAAAAAGAGACAGAUUUUUUUUAAUAUUUAUUUUUUAAUUUUUCAUCAGACACAACAUCUUUGUUUGUAUGUGGUGCUGAGAAUCAAACCCGGGCCGCAUGCUACUGCUUGAGCCACAUCCCCAGCCCACUAUAUGACUGUUUUAACUAGAAAAUGUUCAAAUGAGUACAAGGUUAAAAAAAAAAAAAAAACUAUUGCUAUAGGCAAUCAACAAUCAGAUAGAAAACAGAAUUUGUUUAAGUUACAAUACCAUUUUAAAAAUAUCAAAUACAGAGCUGGGCAUGGUGGUGCACAUCUGCAGUGCCAGCUACUCAGAAAACUGAGGCAGGAAGAUCACCUGGGUUCAAGACUGAUCUGGGCAAUGCAGUGACACCCUGCACCUUAAAAAAAAAUGUAUGCAUCACAAAUACAGUGCCUAAUAAGGAAGAAAACAAAAAUAUACACAACGUGGCACCUAUGAAGUUCAGCUCACAUUAAAUUAUAAUCAAACAUGAGCAGGAAAAAAAAUUUCAGUCAGAAACUGGUGAAGAAAUAAAUAAAAUUAGCCGGGUACAGUGCUACACGUCUGUAAUCAUAGUGGCUCAGCAGGCUAAGGAAGAAGGAACUAAAAUUCAAGGCCAACCUCAGCAAUUUAUUAAGACCUUGUCUCAAAACACUUAAAGGGCUGGGGAUGUGGCUCAGGGUUUGAGCACUGCUGUGAUG